rnacentral:rRNA from 1 species
GACGAACGCUGGCGGCGUGCCUAAUACAUGCAAGUCGAGCGCAGGAAACUGACGGAACUCUUCGGAGGGAAGGCAGUGGAAUGAGCGGCGGACGGGUGAGUAACACGUAAGGAACCUACCUCAAGGAUUGGGAUAACUCCGAGAAAUCGGAGCUAAUACCGGAUAGUUCAUCGGACCGCAUGGUCCGUUGAUGAAAGGCGCUUCGGCGUCACCUUGAGAUGGCCUUGCGGUGCAUUAGCUAGUUGGUGGGGUAAUGGCCCACCAAGGCGACGAUGCAUAGCCGACCUGAGAGGGUGAUCGGCCACACUGGGACUGAGACACGGCCCAGACUCCUACGGGAGGCAGCAGUAGGGAAUCUUCCACAAUGGACGAAAGUCUGAUGGAGCAACGCCGCGUGAGUGAUGAAGGUUUUCGGAUCGUAAAACUCUGUUGUAAGGGAAGAACACGUACGAGAGGGAAUGCUCGUACCUUGACGGUACCUUACGAGAAAGCCACGGCUAACUACGUGCCAGCCGCCGCCGUAA